UAAGUGGUCUUAAUUAAGACCACCUAGAAAAUAAUAAAAAAUUUA
rfam:Polaribacter irgensii 23-P scf_1099646005584 genomic scaffold, whole genome shotgun sequence.